rnacentral:rRNA from 1 species
GACGAACCGUACGAACGUUAUUCGGAAUCACUGGGCUUAAAGGGUGCGUAGGCGGGCGCGACAAGUUGGGUGUGAAAUCCCUCGGCUCAACCGAGGAACUGCGCCCAAAACUGUCGUGCUCGAGGGAGACAGAGGUGAGCGGAACUUAGGGUGGAGCGGUGAAAUGCGCAGAUAUCGGGAGGAACACCGGUGGCGAAGGCGGGUCUCUGGGCCGAUACUGACGCUGAGGAGCGAAAGCGUGGGGAGCGAACAGG